rnacentral:rRNA from 1 species
AGUGAACGCUGGCGGUAGGCCUAACACAUGCAAGUCGAACGGCAGCACAGGAGAGCUUGCUCUCUGGGUGGCGAGUGGCGGACGGGCGAGGAAUACAUCGGAAUCUACUUUUUCGUGGGGGAUAACGUAGGGAAACUUACGCUAAUACCGCAUACGACCUACGGGUGAAAGCAGGGGACCUUCGGGCCUUGCGCGAUUGAAUGAGCCGAUGUCGGAUUAGCUAGUUGGCGGGGUAAAGGCCCACCAAGGCGACGAUCCGUAGCUGGUCUGAGAGGAUGCUCAGCCACACUGGAACUGAGACACGGUCCAGACUCCUACGGGAGGCAGCAGUGGGGAAUAUUGGACAAUGGGCGCAAGCCUGAUCCAGCCAUACCGCGUGGGUGAAGAAGGCCUUCGGGUUGUAAAGCCCUUUUGUUGGGAAAGAAAUCCAGCUGGCUAAUACCCGGUUGGGAUGACGGUACCCAAAGAAUAAGCACCGGCUAACUUCGUGCCAGCAGCCGCAGUAA